CCCGCCUCUUCCGGCUCCUGGUGGCUCCUGGGUUUGUGGCCGGGUCGUCCCUCCCCUCCUUGCUGCCCUCUUCCCCCGGCCUCUCCCUGGGUGAGGGUCCCUCCUCCGUCUCUCGUCAGGACACCGGUCUCUGAGUUAGGGCCUGUCCUGAUCCAGGCGGCUCUUCUCUGGACACCUUUUAUUACAUCCGAAAAAUCCCGUUCCCCAGUCAAAUCGCAUUCUGAGCCUGUGGGGAGACACGAAUUGGGGGCGCACGUUCAAUCCCCUCCAGGACCCUUCUACCUCUGAGCUUUGCAGCCACGCGUCCCCUCAUGUGAACAACGGAAACGUUCCCCCUGUCCCUGGUCGGUCCGGGCCCCGGGCCCGUCACCCCUGCUGCGUGACCGUAGCCAGCUCACUGAUCUCCUGGCCUCCAGCCUCCUGCCCUCAAGUCAGCCUCCUCGCAGUGGCCACCGACUUUGGGAAAUCACGGGGAGGGCCCGCUGUCCAGUGUCUGCAGUAUUUCAUAAUUGGUGAAAUGAGGAACCCCGUUUUGCCGAGAUGUUCGGGAAUAACUCAGUUUUAAAGACCACGUCCUAACAACUGGAAUGGGCCGACUAUUCCAGGGGAAUCCGCUGAGAAUCGUUGCCACGCGAGGUGAGUUCCGAGCUUGCCCUAGGUGCCGGCUGUUGCUUACUUCAGGGGAAGUCCCUGCCCUGUGUCCUCAGAGGCCACGACAGUCACGUAAUGACAG